CCUACGGGAGGCAGCAGUAAGGAAUAUUGGACAAUGGACGAAAGUCUGAUCCAGCCAUGCCGCGUGCAGGAUGACAGCCCUACGGGUUGUAAACUGCUUUUAUACAGGAAGAAACACUCCGACGUGUCGGAGCUUGACGGUACUGUAAGAAUAAGGAUCGGCUAACUCCGUGCCAGCAGCCGCGGUAAUACGGAGGAUCCAAGCGUUAUCCGGAAUCAUUGGGUUUAAAGGGUCCGCAGGCUGUUUUUUAAGUCAGAGGUGAAAUCCUGCAGCUCAACUGUAGAACUGCCUUUGAUACUGGAAAACUUGAGUUAUUGUGAAGUGGUUAGAAUGUGUGGUGUAGCGGUGAAAUGCAUAGAUAUCACACAGAAUACCGAUUGCGAAGGCAGAUCACUAACAAUAUACUGACGCUCAUGGACGAAAGCGUGGGGAGCGAACAGGAUUAGAUACCCUGGUAGUCCACGCCGUAAACGAUGGAUACUAGCUGUUCGUCUAACAUUGGUUAGAUGAGUGGCUAAGCGAAAGUGAUAAGUAUCCCACCUGGGGAGUACGGUCGCAAGACUGAAACUCAAAGGAAUUGACGG
rnacentral:rRNA from 3 species